GUGCCAGCAGCCGCGGUAAUACCGGCAGCCCGAGUGAUGGCCGAUCUUAUUGGGCCUAAAGCGUCCGUAGCUGGGUCUGAAAGUCCAUCGGGAAAUCCACUCGCUCAACGAGUGGGCGUCCGACGGAAACUGCACAGCUUGGGACCGGAAGGCUCGAAGGGUACGUUCGGGGUAGGAGUGAAAUCCUAUAAUCCUGCACGGACCACCGAUGGCGAAAGCACUUCGAGAAAACGGAUCCGACAGUGAGGGACGAAAGCCAGGGUCUCCAACCGGAUUAGAAACCCUAGUAGUCC
rnacentral:rRNA from 1 species